AGUGAACGCUGGCGGUUGGCCUAACACAUGCAAGUCGAACGGCAGCACAGAGGAGCUUGCUCCUUGGGUGGCGAGUGGCGGACGGGUGAGGAAUACAUCGGAAUCUACUCUGUCGUGGGGGAUAACGUAGGGAAACUUACGCUAAUACCGCAUACGACCUACGGGUGAAAGCAGGGGACCUUCGGGCCUUGCGCGAUUGCAUGAGCCGAUGUCGGACUUAGCUAGUUGGCGGGGUAAAGGCCCACCAAGGCGACGAUCCGUAGCUGGUCUGCGGGGAAAGUCAGCCACACUGGAACUGCUCCACAGUCCAGAAUCCUACGGGAGGCAGCAGUGGGGAAUAUUGGACAAUGGGCGCAAGCCUGAUCCAGCCAUACCGCGUGGGUGAAGAAGGCCUUCGGGUUGUAAAGCCCUUUUGUUGGGAAAGAAAUCCAGCUGGCUAAUACCCGGUUGGGAUGACGGUACCCAAAGAAUAAGCACCGGCUAACUUCGUGCCAGCCGCCGCUGUAA
rnacentral:rRNA from 1 species